rnacentral:rRNA from 1 species
AACGAACGCUGGCGGCAGGCUUAACACAUGCAAGUCGAACGGUUGUAGCAAUACAGCAGUGGCAGACGGGUGAGUAACACGUGGGAACCUUCCUCGGGGUACGGAACAACUCAGGGAAACUUGAGCUAAUACCGUAUACGUCCGUGAGGAGAAAGAUUUAUCGCCCUGAGACGGGCCCGCGUCGGAUUAGCUAGUUGGUGGGGUAACGGCCUACCAAGGCGACGAUCCGUAGCUGAUCUUAGAGGANGAUCAGCCACACUGGGACUGAGACACGGCCCAGACUCCUACGGGAGGCAGCAGUGGGGAAUCUUGGACAAUGGGCGCAAGCCUGAUCCAGCCAUGCCGCGUGAGUGAUGAAGGCCCUAGGGUUGUAAAGCUCUUUUGUGCGGGAAGAUAAUGACGGUACCGCAAGAAUAAGCCCCGGCUAACUUCGUGCCAGCCGCCGCGGU